rnacentral:misc_RNA from 1 species
UGGUUCUGGCAUCGAUGAAGAACGCAGCGAAAUGCGAUAAGUAGUGUGAAUUGCAGAAUUCAGUGAAUCAUCGAAUCUUUGAACGCACAUUGCGCCCUUCGGUAUUCCGUUGGGCAUGCCUGUUCGAGCGUCAUUUUAACCUUCAAGCAUAGCUUGGUGUUGGGUGCUUGUCCCCCUAGCGGUGGACUCACCUCAAAUGCAUUGGCGGCCGGUAUGUUGGCUUCGAGCGCAGUACAACGCGCCUGGUGUCUAGACGUGCUGGUCCUCCACAAGACCUUCUUUAAUCUUGACCUCGGAUCAGGUAGGGAUACCCGCUGA